rnacentral:misc_RNA from 1 species
GAUGAAGAACGCAGCGAAAUGCGAUAAGUAAUGUGAAUUGCAGAAUUCAGUGAAUCAUCGAAUCUUUGAACGCACCUUGCACCCUUUGGCAUUCCGAAGGGUAUGCUCGUUUGAGUGUCAUUGUACUCUCACUCUCCCGAUGCUUUUGGAUCGGGAGUGGUGGACUUGGGUGUUGCUGCUUUGCUGUGGCUCGCCUCAAAUGGAGUAGUGCAACUCUUGGUUGGACAUAGUACGGCGUGAUAAGUGUCUUCGCCGGCGCCUCAUUAUAGAGGGUGGCCGAUCGGGAGCUCUGUGCUUCAAACCGUCUUCGGACAACAUCUGACAACUUGACCUCAAAUCGAGUAGGACUACCCGCUGAACUUAAGCAUAUCAAUAAGCGGAAGA